rnacentral:rRNA from 1 species
AUUGAACGCUGGCGGCAGGCCUAACACAUGCAAGUCGAGCGGAUGAAGGGAGCCUGCUCCUGGAUUCAGCGGCGGACGGGUGAGUAAUGCCUAGGAAUCUGCCUGGUAGUGGGGGAUAACGUCCGGAAACGGGCGCUAAUACCGCAUACGUCCUGAGGGAGAAAGUGGGGGAUCUUCGGACCUCACGCUAUCAGAUGAGCCUAGGUCGGAUUAGCUAGUUGGUGGGGUAAAGGCCUACCAAGGCGACGAUCCGUAACUGGUCUGAGAGGAUGAUCAGUCACACUGGAACUGAGACACGGUCCAGACUCCUACGGGAGGCAGCAGUGGGGAAUAUUGGACAAUGGGCGAAAGCCUGAUCCAGCCAUGCCGCGUGUGUGAAGAAGGUCUUCGGAUUGUAAAGCACUUUAAGUUGGGAGGAAGGGCAGUAAGUUAAUACCUUGCUGUUUUGACGGUACCAACAGAAUAAGCACCGGCUAACUUCGUG